UACGUAGGGACCAAGCGUUGUUCGGAUUUACUGGCGUAAAGGGCGCGUAGGCGGCAUGACAAGUCACUUGUGAAAUCUCCGGGCUUAACUCGGAGCGGUCAAGUGAUACUGUUGUGCUAGAGUGCGGAAGGGGCUACUGGAAUUCUCGGUGUAGCGGUGAAAUGCGUAGAUAUCGAGAGGAACACCUGCGGCGAAGGCGGGUAGCUGGGCCGACACUGACGCUGAAGCGCGAAAGCCUAGGGGAGCGAACGGG
rnacentral:rRNA from 1 species